rnacentral:rRNA from 1 species
GAGUUUAUCUUGGCUCAGAACGAACGCUGGCGGCAGGCCUAACACAUGCAAGUCGAACGCCGUAGCAAUACGGAGUGGCAGACGGGUGAGUAACGCGUGGGAACGUACCCUUUGGUUCGGAACAACUCCGGGAAACUGGAGCUAAUACCGGAUAAGCCCUACGGGGGAAAGAUUUAUCGCCGAAGGAUCGGCCCGCGUCGGAUUAGCUUGUUGGUGGGGUAACGGCCUACCAAGGCGACGAUCCGUAGCUGGUCUGAGAGGAUGAUCAGCCACACUGGGACUGAGACACGGCCCAGACUCCUACGGGAGGCAGCAGUGGGGAAUAUUGGACAAUGGGCGCAAGCCUGAUCCAGCCAUGCCGCGUGAGUGAUGAAGGCCCUAGGGUUGUAAAGCUCUUUCGCCAGGGACGAUAAUGACGGUACCUGGAUAAGACGCCCCGGCUAACUUCGUGCCAGCAGCCGCCGUAAC